rnacentral:lncRNA from 7 species
UCCCUAGUGCCCCCUAGCGGCAGUCCUCCCACUGCUCCCUAGUGCCCCCUAGCGGCGAUCCUCCCAUUUCUCCAUAGCGCCCCCUAGCGGCAGUCCUCCAACUGCUCCACAGCGCCCUCUAGCGGCGGUCCUCCCACUGCUCCAUAGCGCCCCCUAUGGGUCUCCAUGUCUCCAUUGCCCCCUAUGGGUUUCUGUUCAGUAUUUCUCUCUAGCGCUCCCUAGCGGCAGUCCUCCCACCGCUCCAUAGCGCCCCCUAGUGGCGGUCCUCCCAGUGCUCUCUACUGCCCCCUAGUGGUCACCCUGACAUUGCUCCCUAGCGCCCCCUAGCGGCAGUGUUGCCGUUGCUCCCUAGCUCCCCCUAGCGGCGGUCCUCCCACCGCUCCAUAGCGCCCCCUAGUGGCGGUCCUCCCACUACUCCCUACUGCCCUCUAGCGGCCGCCAACGCGCAUUGCAUCGUCUCCCCUCCCAGUGCUCCCAGUUUGCCCAGUAGCAGCGCCGCCAUGCCUCACCAGUACCCAGCGCUCACCCCGGAGCAGAAGCAGGAGCUGCACGACAUCGCCAAGCGCAUCGUGGCGCCGGGCAAAGGCAUCCUGGCUGCUGAUGAGUCCACCGGUGCGUAAUGGGGUGGACUGGGAGGGGAUAUGGGGCGGCUGGGCCGUACUGGGAGGAGAUAUGGGGUGACUGGGAUGGUCUGGGAUGGACUGGGAGGGGAUACAGGGCGACUGGGAUGGACUGGGAGGAGAUAUGGGAUGACGGACUGGGAUGGACUGGGAUGGACUGGGAGAGCACUAUGAGAAGAUAUGGGGUGACUGGGAUGGACUGGGAGGGGAUACGGGGCGACUGGGAUGGAAACUGGGAUGGACUGGGAGGGGAUACGGGGCAACUGGGAUGGACUGGGAUGGACUGGGAGGAGAUAUGGGGUGACCGGCCAUACUGGGAUGGACUGGGAGGAGAUAUGGGGCGACUGGGAUGGACUGGGAGGAGAUAUGGGGUGACUGGGAUGGACUGGGAGGGGAUAUGGGGUGACUGGGCCAUACUGGGAUGGACUGGGAGGGAAUAUGGGCUGACUGGGAUGGACUGGGAUGGACUGGGAGGGGAUAUGGGGCAAUUGGGCC